rnacentral:piRNA from 1 species
UACAAGUUUGGAAGGUCUGAAUAGGUAGU